AUUGAACGCUGGCGGCAGGCUUAACACAUGCAAGUCGAGCGGAGCGAGGGUGCUUGCACCUUAGCUUAGCGGCGGACGGGUGAGUAAUGCUUAGGAAUCUGCCUAUUAGUGGGGGACAACAUUCCGAAAGGGAUGCUAAUACCGCAUACGCCCUACGGGGGAAAGCAGGGGAUCUUCGGACCUGGCGCUAAUAGAUGAGCCUAAGUCGGAUUAGCUAGUUGGUGGGGUAAAGGCCUACCAAGGCGACGAGCUGUUGCGGGUCUGAGAGGAUGAUCCGCCACACUGGGACUGAGACACGGCCCAGACUCCUACGGGAGGGAGCAGUGGGGAAUAUUGGACAAUGGGCGGAAGCCUGAUCCAGCCAUGCCGCGUGUGUGAAGAAGGCCUUUUGGUUGUAAAGCACUUUAAGCGAGGAGGAGGCUACUAGUAUUAAUACUACUGGAUAGUGGACGUUACUCGCAGAAUAAGCACCGGCUAACUCUGUGCCAGCCGCCGCGGUAAUAC
rnacentral:rRNA from 1 species